UCCGCUGGGGGCUUCUCCAUACGUUGCGAUGUCAUGCCAUUUUAAAGAUUACUGUAGGCCUAAUCAGACUCAAAUGUGACAGCCCGAGAGCGAAUUUCCAUCUAUCGAUAACCACUCCGCUAGCCUAGGCUAGUCUACUGUUUAAUUCCUUGACCGAUGGGCCCAUUUUUGAUCAUUACGAACUUUCUGACUGGAUUGUGGUGGCUCAAUCAUUUUUUUUACGUCCUUUGUGCAGAUACUAAAGACACCAUGCAAAACAUCACAGUGAGGAGAGGAGAAAAUUGUACUCUCCCAACUGGUAUUGACAGACGUUCGAACAUUAUGAUACUGUGGAGUUUCACUACUUUUGAUAAAGAAUCAUCGUUUGCUAUGGCCCAGCUGUAUAAGGACGAAGUGGAAAUAACCCCUACUGAAUUGUUUGGAAAAAGAUUGCACCUGGACAGACAGACUGGAUCUCUUACCAUCAAGGAUAUUACCUUCACGGAUUCUGGUGUAUAUCAACUUCUAAUACGACAGAUAGGCCUACAGGAAUCACAUGAGACAUUCUAUAUUUUCGUUUAUGGUGAUGUAGGUAAACCCAAGGCGACUGUCCUACAACAUUACCACAGCAGAAGAAAACUAAAUACAAGCUGUUCAGUGGAGUGCACUGUGGAGAAUGGGAGAGAGGUGACCCUGUCCUGGUACAGAGGAAAUUACAUGUUGAACCAGACCAGCAGUCCUGAUCUCAACAUGACCCUCAGAAUCCCUCUGGAGGUUGAACACCAUGACGACAGUAUCUACAGCUGUGUGGCUGCAAACCCAGUUAGCAACAAGACAAUUUUUCUCAACAUCUCUGCCACCUGUUCUGCCCCCCCAGACUCCGUCAGGUCAAAGAGGAGCCAUUCUUUACUGAUUGGAUUGCUGCUCAUUCUGAUUCUGAUAUCAUUCUGUGUUGUGUUACCAUUCUGCUUCAAAAGAAAACUGGAGGCUGAGAAUCCUUCUGAAGAGGAGCCCCAGUAUAUAGAUGUAAAUCAUACAACAACAAAGUUCAGGGCAAAGGUAUAGGCAUAGGGAUACUUUUGUGAUAUUGACAGAUACAUUUACAGCUGAUGUGUUUAUCCAAAGAGACUUACAACAAUCAAGGUACAACAAAGGAGGCACAGUGUGAAGACAUUCUUUACUCAGAGGUUAAAAAGAUGGCUGCCAACACGGAAGAGUCUAGGUAGUUUCUACUUUUUUGUUUUUCUUUGCAUUAUGUGGAAAUGUUAAUUUGAUAUAUAGUAUUCACUGUUUACAUGCCAGCAUUUCAAUAUUGUCUCAGAUUUCCUUUUUGUGUGUCUUGUGUACAUUUCAAUUAAAUCUCUACCAUUCCACCCUGUGAUUAGCGAGUUAGCGACAUAGAAUUUCACAGAUUACAAUAAAUGCUGACCCAGUAUUGGUAAUGUAUUGCUAAUGUGGAUACAUUAUAGAUACAUUGCUUGUUUACAAAAGAUAAUAACCGAAAAACUCACCGUUCUGAGAGAUACCUACUUGAGACUACUGCCUUGUAUGUAUCCCUUUAAGACUGUACAGUUUGUGCUGUAAGUCAAAAUAUUUAUCACAUAACACAGAACAGGUGAAACUUGUUCUGUGACAUUCUUGGUGUCUGCCAUUGCAUUUUGCCAAACAUUCCUUCUUCUUCAAAACAUGUGUGAUUGUUUUCAAAAUGUAUUUAUAUUGUGCUCAUUUUUUUAUUUUUUAAUAAUCAUAAUAAUAUGAGGCAUAGCAUAAAUAAAUAUUGUAUGUGCAUGCAUAACUGUGCAGUUGACGUGUGAAUUAUUAUCCUACAAGUUAUCUCCAUUGCCUCUCUACUGGGAAAGUAUACAGCUUGAUAUGUUUUGAUUUUCAUUACUUAAACCAUGCUGGUCAAGUCAGCCAUUCAUUUAAACCCAAAAUUUAAACCUGUUUUGUCCCUAAUCUCAAGAAACACUGAAAAAUAAAAAAUCAGCAGUUUAAAAAGU